UGCGAAUGGCUCAUUAUAUAAGUUAUCGUUUAUUUGAUAGUACCUUACUACUUGGAUAACCGUGGUAAUUCUAGAGCUAAUACAUGCUAAAAAUCCCGACUUCGGAAGGGAUGUAUUUAUUAGAUUAAAAACCAAUGCCCUCUGGGCUCUCUGGUGAUUCAUGAUAACUUCUCGAAUCGCAUGGCCUUGCGCCGGCGAUGGUUCAUUCAAAUUUCUUCCCUAUCAACUUUCGAUGUUUGGGUAUUGGCCAAACAUGGUCGCAACGGGUAACGGAGGGUUAGGGCUCGACCCCGGAGAAGGAGCCUGAGAAACGGCUACUACAUCCAAGGAAGGCAGCAGGCGCGCAAAUUACCCAAUCCCGACACGGGGAGGUAGUGACAAUAAAUACUGAUACAGGGCUCUUUCGGGUCUUGUAAUUGGAAUGAGUACAAUUUAAAUCCCUUAACGAGGAACAAUUGGAGGGCAAGUCUGGUGCCAGCAGCCGCGGUAAUUCCAGCUCCAAUAGCGUAUAUUAAAGUUGUUGUGGUUAAAAAGCUCGUAGUUGAACCUUGGGCCUGGCUGGCCGGUCCGCCUCACCGCGUGUACUGGUCCGGCCGGGCCUUUCCCUCUGUGGAACCUCAUGCCCUUCACUGGGCGUGACGGGGAAACAGGACUUUUACUGUGAAAAAAUUAGAGUGCUCCAGGCAGGCCUAUGCUCGAAUACAUUAGCAUGGAAUAAUGAAAUAGGACGUGCGGUUCUAUUUUGUUGGUUUCUAGGACCGCCGUAAUGAUUAAUAGGGACAGUCGGGGGCAUCAGUAUUCAAUUGUCAGAGGUGAAAUUCUUGGAUUUAUUGAAGACUAACUACUGCGAAAGCAUUUGCCAAGGAUGUUUUCAUUAAUCAGGAACGAAAGUUAGGGGAUCGAAGACGAUCAGAUACCGUCGUAGUCUUAACCAUAAACUAUGCCGACUAGGGAUCGGACGAUGUAAAUAAUUGACUCGUUCGGCACCUUACGAGAAAUCA
rnacentral:rRNA from 1 species